UACUGCUAUCCUGAGGGGAAACUUUGGGCAGGAACCAGCUACUAGAUGGUUCGAUUAGUCUUUCGCCCCUAUACCCAAAUUUGACGAUCGAUUUGCACGUCAGAACCGCUGCGAGCCUCCACCAGAGUUUCCUCUGGCUUCACCCUAUUCAGGCAUAGUUCACCAUCUUUCGG
rnacentral:rRNA from 1 species